AGGACGAACGCUGGCGGCGUGCUUAACACAUGCAAGUCGAGCGGUAAGGCUCCUUCGGGAGUACACGAGCGGCGAACGGGUGAGUAACACGUGAGCAAUCUGCCCUUCACUCGUGGGACUAACCCUACGGAAACGAGAGCUAAUACCGGAUACGACCACUUCAGGCA
rnacentral:rRNA from 1 species